rnacentral:lncRNA from 1 species
ACGAGCUACAAGAAGUGCAGGUAAAUAAAAGCAUGUCCCUUGAUCAAAUUCUGUCUGUAUCAGAAAAUUAACAAUGAGGAGUUUAGGUUGAAAGAGAAGCAAAAUUUGAAGAGUGGUUGGGAGGAUGGGCAAUCAUAAUGCUGGUCCUGGAGAAGAAGAUAAUUAACAGUAAAGGGCUUUAGCUUGAUAUAGCUUUGAACCUGAAACAAUUCUUUUUCUCUGGAAGGGACUUCACUUGUACCAUGUUUGACGGAUCUUUGUACUAAAACCGGAAAUGUGAAAAUGAGAGAUUAUCACAGUGUUCAAAGGAGAAGGGAAAAAGAAGCUUGAAUCUACAAUUUAUUCUAAUUGUCUUUGUAC